rnacentral:rRNA from 1 species
CAGCCGCCGCGGUAAGACAGAGGAUGCAAGCGUUACUCGGAAUCACUGGGCGUAAAGGACGCGUAGGCGGAUUAUCAAGUCUCUUGUGAAAUCUAACGGCUUAACCGUUAAACUGCUUGGGAAACUGAUAAUCUAGAGUAAGGGAGAGGCAGAUGGAAUUCUUGGUGUAGGGGUAAAAUCCGUAGAUAUCAAGAAGAAUACCUAUUGCGAAGGCGAUCUGCUGGAACUUAACUGACGCUAAUGCGUGAAAGCGUGGGGAGCAAACAGGAUUAGAUACCCGGGUAGUCCCUGUCUCUUAUAC